rnacentral:pre_miRNA from 1 species
GUGAGGACUCGGGAGGUGGAGGGUGGCGUCGUCAGGGCCUGGGCGCUGUCUCAGCUCACUUCUCCCCCCACCUCCUCUCUCCUCAG